CAAGAAUUGCACUCGCCAACCAAUCCGAGACGCCAGUGCAACCAAAAAGUAACCGAGAAUUGACCAAUGAGGAUAGAGCUAUGGCGGGACGUUUAAACUCUAGAAGAGAACCAUGGAAAAAUGUAUUUUCUCAGGGAGAGACGUAUGCCUUCCCAAGGGAUGACAACGCAUUUUGCCUGAUGUGGACCAUACCUGGGUGUCCAAGGCGUUGUUCAGGUGGUCGGGGAAUGGGAUUCCAGAGAUGGACUUUGCCAGGGUUGACAAAAUGUGGUGGGACCGCCCUCCACCACCAUCUGCAGCUCAGUAGAGAUGGAGAGGUACUUUGCCCGUCCUCUGCUGCUCUGGAUGCCCAGGUAGCUCAGGCAGGUAAAGCUGUAAUUGCCCGCAUUCUGUGAGCAUAUGGUUCCUUACACUGUUCCACGCAAAUACACUGGUAAUGGCAAUAUCAUUUUGAUGUAAUUAAUAAUCUAAUGCAUCUUUUAUAUUUAAUAGAAACAGCAACACAUUUCUCUUUGUGAAACGUUAAUUUAGAAUUAUUCCAUUCUCAGUCCAGUGAAUUCUCAUAUUUAUGUCGUUUUUUAUCUUUGGGUGAGCUGAUAGGUUACAUGACAAGGGCUAUAUUGAAAGGUAGCUUGCAAGUAAGCAUUUCAUUGCACUGUUUACACCCGGCUGUAUUCUGUGUAUAUGAUUAAUACAAUUGGAUUUGAUUUUUGACAGUAAGGAUGCUUGCCAUUUCAGGAGACAGUUCUAAAAGAGAGUACACCAGGGCUAUAGCUCUGGAUAAAUUUGGCCAGGAGGGCUGUACUGAUCCGAGUUGGCAACCCAGCAACAAGGCAGUUCAGCCUUUAGAAAUGCUCUAUGGUAUGCUGGGUAUUUGGUGGCAUUGAUGAAGAGUGAUGCAAAAAACAUGCUGCCAAUCAGAUGACUUUGUAGGUGUCCUACCAUCCAGCAUCCAGUCCACACCUCUAACCGCAUCAGUCCUCUGCUCCUGUACAGACUACUCCACCACCAGCUGGUUCUCUGUCCGUGGCCUUGACACCUGUGCCCUGCUGGACCUCUGUUCAUGAUCUCCACAUCUGUGCCCGGCUGGGCCUCUGUUCAUGAUCUCCACGCCCGUGCCCAGCUGACACUCAGUCAGCCCUGUCCUCUGCUCCUUAUGGGCUGGGCAUUCUGAUGGAGCCAGCAAUCAGUCGCUCUCCAUUUUCAGUUAAUUAUAUAUAAUUGUAAUUAUUUGUGUUCAAUUGUUUGUCCCUCUGUGGUGUUUAUUUAACUGUAUAUACAGCAUCAUUUGUCAUUGAUGUAUUACUCAUAAGUAUUCUCCCCUGACUCUUAA
rnacentral:lncRNA from 1 species